AGAGUUUGAUCCUGGCUCAGGAUGAACGCUGGCGGCGUGCUUAACACAUGCAAGUCGAACGAUGAUCUCCAGCUUGCUGGGGGGAUUAGUGGCGAACGGGUGAGUAACACGUGAGUAACCUGCCCUUGACUCUGGGAUAAGCCUGGGAAACUGGGUCUAAUACCGGAUACGACCGUCCCGCGCAUGCGGUGGUGGUGGAAAGCUUUUGCGGUUUUGGAUGGACUCGCGGCCUAUCAGCUUGUUGGUGGGGUAAUGGCCUACCAAGGCGACGACGGGUAGCCGGCCUGAGAGGGUGACCGGCCACACUGGGACUGAGACACGGCCCAGACUCCUACGGGAGGCAGCAGUGGGGAAUAUUGCACAAUGGGCGAAAGCCUGAUGCAGCGACGCCGCGUGAGGGAUGACGGCCUUCGGGUUGUAAACCUCUUUCAGUAGGGAAGAAGCGAAAGUGACGGUACCUGCAGAAGAAGCGCCGGCUAACUACGUGCCAGCAGCCGCGGUAAUACGUAGGGCGCAAGCGUUAUCCGGAAUUAUUGGGCGUAAAGAGCUCGUAGGCGGUUUGUCGCGUCUGCUGUGAAAGACCGGGGCUCAACUCCGGUUCUGCAGUGGGUACGGGCAGACUAGAGUGAUGUAGGGGAGACUGGAAUUCCUGGUGUAGCGGUGAAAUGCGCAGAUAUCAGGAGGAACACCGAUGGCGAAGGCAGGUCUCUGGGCAUUAACUGACGCUGAGGAGCGAAAGCAUGGGGAGCGAACAGGAUUAGAUACCCUGGUAGUCCAUGCCGUAAACGUUGGGCACUAGGUGUGGGGGACAUUCCACGUUUUCCGCGCCGUAGCUAACGCAUUAAGUGCCCCGCCUGGGGAGUACGGCCGCAAGGCUAAAACUCAAAGGAAUUGACGG
rnacentral:rRNA from 1 species